GACGAACGCUGGCGGCGUGCUUAACACACGCAAGUCGAACGGAAAGGCCCUGCUUUUGUGGGGUGCUCGAGUGGCGAACGGGUGAGUAACACGUGAGUAACCUGCCCUUGACUUUGGGAUAACUUCAGGAAACUGGGGCUAAUACCGGAUAGGAGCUCCUGCUGCAUGGUGGGGGUUGGAAAGUUUCGGCGGUUGGGGAUGGACUCGCGGCUUAUCAGCUUGUUGGUGGGGUAGUGGCUUACCAAGGCUUUGACGGGUAGCCGGCCUGAGAGGGUGACCGGCCACAUUGGGACUGAGAUACGGCCCAGACUCCUACGGGAGGCAGCAGUGGGGAAUAUUGCACAAUGGGCGGAAGCCUGAUGCAGCAACGCCGCGUGCGGGAUGACGGCCUUCGGGUGGUAAACCGCUUUCGCCUGUGACGAAGCGUGAGUGACGGUAAUGGGUAAAGAAGCACCGGCUAACUACGU
rnacentral:rRNA from 1 species